rnacentral:lncRNA from 1 species
UUCCUUUUCCUUUUCCUUUUCCUUUUCCUUUUCCUUUUCCUUUUCCUUUUCCUUUUCCUUUUCCUUUUCCUUUUCCUUUUUUUCCCCUUUUUUCCCCUUUUUUCCCCUUUUUUUUCCCCUUUUUCCCCUUUCCUGUUCCUUUUCCCUGACACUGGAAUAUUUCCCACCUUUCCCAGAGCUCUGAUCCCUUCCAGAGCCACACCUGGAAUCUCCCAGACCCCUCCAGGUGUAUCCCAAACCCCUCCAGGUGUAUCCCAGACCCCUCCAGGUGUAUCCCAGACCCCUCCAGGUGUAUCCCAAACCCCUCCAGGUGUAUCUGAUCCCCUCCAGGUGUAUCCCAGACCCCUCCAGGUGUAUCUGAUCCCCUCCAGGUGUAUCCCAGACCCCUCCAGGUGUAUCCCAGACCCCUCCAGGUGUAUCCCACACCCCUCCAGGUGUAUCUGAUCCCCUCCAGGUGUAUCUGAUCCCCUCCAGGUGUAUCCCAAACCCCUCCAGGUGUAUCCCAAACCCCUCCAGGUGUAUCCCAGACCCCUCCAGGUGUAUCCCAGACCCCUCCAGGUGUAUCUGAUCCCCUCCAGGUGUAUCCCAGACCCCUCCAGGUGUAUCCCAAACCUCUCCAGGUGUAUCCCAGACCCCUCCAGGUGUAUCCCAGACCCCUCCAGGUGUAUCCCAAACCCCUCCAGGUGUAUCCCACACCCCUCCAGGUGUAUCCCAGACCCCUCCAGGUGUAUCUGAUCCCCUCCAGGUGUAUCCCAGACCCCUCCAGGUGUAUCUCAAACCCCUCCAGGUGUAUCCCCGACCUUUCCAGGUGUAUCCCAGACCCCUCCAGGUGUAUCUGAUCCCCUCCAGGUGUAUCUGAUCCCCUCCAGGUGUAUCCCAGACCUUUUCAGGUGUAUCUCAAACCCCUCUCCUCUCCCACAGGAGAAAUUCUCUGACUUCAACACCGGCAUCCGCUCCCCUCCCAAGCAGAUGGUUUGGUGCACGCGGCCCCGGAGCCGGCACCGUGCCGUGGUGCUGGCCUGGGAGCGGCAGCUGAUGGUGGUGGGAAAUUCCUCGGAGAGCAUCCGGUAUCCUUCGGGAGCGGGGAGCGCUCCUGGCGCUGCUGCCACCCCCGGGGAUCAUCCCAGGAAUUCCCUGUCCCCAGGGAACAUCCCAGGAAUUCCCUGUCCCCAGGGAUCCUCCCAGGAAUUCCCUGUCCCCAGGGAUCCUCCCAGGAAUUCCCUGUCCCCAGGGAUCCUCCCAGGAAUUCCCUGUCCCCAGAGAUGCUCCAAGGUCCUUUCCCUGUCCCCAGGGGUGAUCCCAGGAAUUCCCUGUCCCCAGGGAUGCUCCCAGCUCCUUUCCCUGUCCCCAGGGAUGUUCCCAGACCCUUCCCCGUGUCCCAGCCCUUCCCCAUUCCCGGGAUUUCCCUCGCUGGGCGCUGCCAUGGCUCCUUAGCCGGAUCCCAGC